GUCAAGUAAGAAUACCCGCUGAACUUAAGCAUAUCAAUAAGCGGAGGAAAAGAAACUAACUAGGAUUCCCUUAGUAACGGCGAGUGAACUGGGAAGAGCUCAAAUUUUAAAUCACUUUGGUGAAUUGUAAUUUGAAGAAAGUGUUUUGACUUUUCAGUUUAAUCUAAAUCCUUUGGGAUGAGGUAUCAUAGAGGGUGAGAAUCCCGUUUGUGAUUAAACCUCGGAUUGCACUAAUACACUUUCUAAGAGUCGAGUUGUUUGGGAUUGCAGCUCUAAAUGGGUGGUAAAUUUCACCUAAGGCUAAAUAUAUGCAAGAGACCGAUAGCGAACAAGUACCGUGAGGGAAAGAUGAAAAGAACUUUGAAAAGAGAGUUAAACAGUACGUGAAAUUGUUGAAAGGGAAACGAUUGAAGUCAGUCAUGCUAGUGAGGAAUCAACUUGGUGGUUUACUUCCUUGUGUAUUUUCUUACUUGGCAGGUUAGCAUCAAUUUUGGUUGUCAUCAAAUAAUUGGGGGAAUGUGGCUUUUCUUCGGGAAAGUGUUAUAGACCUUGAUAGAUGUGGCGACUGAGAUUGAGGUUUGCAGCGGAUGCCUCUGGCUAGUCACCUGUCUACUGACGGUCACCUCGCUUUCGACAGCUUGCUAACGAUGGUGAGAUUUGACUGUCUAGUAUUUAGAGUGAACAUAAAUUCGCUAAGGAUGCUGACGUAAUGGCUUUAAACGACCCGUCUUGAAACACGGACCAAGGAGUCUAACAUAUGUGCGAGUGUU
rnacentral:rRNA from 1 species